rnacentral:rRNA from 1 species
UAGUUACCUCAAAGAUGAGGUAAGGGAAUGAGAAAUGGGCUUCGAUCACUCCUUCAGGUCACCAAACGUGUGAUCAAGUGAUUAAAGAUAUUGAAUCCUGAACCAACUUAAACCGAAGGGGUUUGAAACAUGAAAUAAGAAGAGACUUCUCGUACCUUUUGUAUCAGGGUGGGAGGAAUAGACCAUCCGACCUGAUGAAAUCCCGAAAGAAGAGGAUUUACAAUCUCCCAUCAUUUAAGUUUCAAUUUGAUGAGAAAGAGAUUGUAGAAAUGACAAGUUACUCGUCUCUUCAUAUCUGGUUCCAUUGUCUUCUCUUUAGGAGAGGUUUGGGUUAAUAGAAAAUCCAAGCCAACUUCACAGGGGAUAAGCUCUGAGAAGAGUGAGAAUUGGGCAAACAAACCACUCACCUAAAUAAUUUUGAUUUAAUUUAAUCCAAACUCUCACUAAUUAAGGGUGACCAAGAGGAACAUGACCUCAGGUGAAAUAAUCUCCCAAUAAGUAUACACGACAAACUUGGAGAAAGGAACUUGGCAAACAGUGAUUCUGAUUGUUUAAUAAAAACAUUUCCUCUGGAAGUAAAUCGGAGGUAAGACCUGCUCAAUGUGUUCAAUAAAUAGCCGCAGUAUCUUAACUGUGCAAAGGUAGCAUAAUAAUUAGGCUCUUAAUUGGAGUCUGGAAUGAACGGACUAACAAGAAUUAAUCUGUCUCUCUCUUAGGAGUAGAAGUUAAACCGUUUGUAAAAAUGCAAACAUAAACAAGAGGGACGAUAAGACCCUACAGAUCUUCCAACACUUGUGUUGUUAUUUGGGAUGAAUCCAGAGAGAAGUAAACUUCGGAUAAAAUUACGACUAGACAGUCAACUUUUGAUCCAUUAUGAUGAUAAAUCGUAAAAGUUACCUUAGGGAUAACAGGAUAAUAAUCUCCCACUAGACCUAAUUGUGGGAGGUGAUUGUUACCUCGAUGUUGAAUUAGGGUACCCACGAACUGCAGAAGGUCAAAUGGUUGGUCUGUUCGACCAUUAAAACCCUACAUGAUUUGAGUUUAGACCGACGAGAGUCAGGUCAGAUUCUAUCUUCUUAAAUCUAGUCUAUCAUUGUACGAGAGGACUUGAUGGACCAAUAACUAAUGAUUGAAUUACCCUUCAAUUACAAUUAUUGACAAUUAUAG